CCCUGUCUCAGGAAUCAAGAAUGCUCUCUUGCUGAGAGCUGCCAUUUUAUCGCCACGGGAACCGGGCGUGCACAGCUCUGCAGACUGGCAUUAGAUGAGGAAAUUUGUGCAGCAUGGAAAUGGGAUUGGAGCAGUGGCACAGAGUUUCCCAUAAGAGGACACCUCAUGGAUCCUCUAACCCCACCUCUGGGGCCUGCGUCACCGGCCACUACGACUCCCCACUGACUGUGCUGGAAGGAGUCCUCACAGGAGCUGAGGACUCACAUGUGAGCCACGUGGACUGAUGAGGCCAAGGUCGGCCUCACGAGCUUGAGGUCAUCUUCUGCCUAUGGCUCGAAGGCUUCUAAUGACAAGACCCACUAUUCUAUCCACAGAUAGCACCACUCCAUUUGUCACAGAGGUAGCACCUUUGGGAAGACAUUCCUUUAUGUUAAGAUACUGAUAACCUGCAAAAUUGCUUUUAAAAAUAUGAAUUAUAGCUUUACUACUGCCAUUUUAUGUCAAGGUAAGAUUGUAUUGUUCUCAAAGGACUUCAGUUAUUCUUAGCCAUGUCUUUGGAGCUUAGCAAGCCAUCACUCAACAAGGUUUAAAGGGAGCAAGAAAUCGAAAGGCAAGUUUGAGGAACCAGAAAAGAGACAGGUAUGAAGGAACAAUUCCUAGAAGAGGAAAGAUUUGAGAAAGAACGGGUGGGGUGUGUAGAGAGCAGUGAGUACUAAAAUGGAACAAAGCCAGGGGGCUUUAUUAGGAUGCUGGCAAAAACAGAGCACAAAGACACAUCUCAUCUCUUUCGAAAGUUGCAUUAGGCUUUGACCAAGCCCACCCUGCUAUGGAUGAAGAGUCUUUCCGGGCUAUGCGUUAGUACUCACAGGUCCAGCACUGAAACUCAGCAUCACUGUCAAGCACCUAUUAGAAGAGAAGUGAUGAAACCUCCAAUGUUCUCUUGCAAAAACAAUGGAUGUUCCCACAUUUCCAUAUUAAUCAGAUAU